rnacentral:rRNA from 1 species
AUUGGAAGGGGUGUAUUUAUUAGAUAAAAAACCAAUGCCCUUCGGGGCUCCUUGGUGAUUCAUAAUAACUAAACGAAUCGCAUGGCCUUGCGCCGGCGAUGGUUCAUUCAAAUUUCUGCCCUAUCAACUUUCGAUGGUAAGGUAGUGGCUUACCAUGGUUUCAACGGGUAACGGGGAAUUAGGGUUCUAUUCCGGAGAGGGAGCCUGAGAAACGGCUACCACAUCCAAGGAAGGCAGCAGGCGCGCAAAUUACCCAAUCCCAAUACGGGGAGGUAGUGACAAUAAAUACUGAUACGGGGCUCUUUCGGGUCUCGUAAUUGGAAUGAGUACAAUCUAAAUCCCUUAACGAGGAACAAUUGGAGGGCAAGUCUGGUGCCAGCAGCCGCGGUAAUUCCAGCUCCAAUAGCGUAUAUUAAAGUUGUUGCCGUUAAAAAGCUCGUAGUUGAACCUUGGACCUGGCUGAUCUGUCCUCCCAAUCGAGCGUACGGAUUCGGUCGGGUCUUUCCUUCUGGGGAACCCUAUGCCCUUUACUGGGCGUAGCGGGGAACCAGGACUUUUAC